rnacentral:rRNA from 1 species
AUUGAACGCUGGCGGCAGGCUUAACACAUGCAAGUCGAGCGGGGGAAGGUAGCUUGCUACCGGACCUAGCGGCGGACGGGUGAGUAAUGCUUAGGAAUCUGCCUAUUAGUGGGGGACAACAUCUCGAAAGGGAUGCUAAUACCGCAUACGUCCUACGGGAGAAAGCAGGGGAUCUUCGGACCUUGCGCUAAUAGAUGAGCCUAAGUCAGAUUAGCUAGUUGGUGGGGUAAAGGCCUACCAAGGCGACGAUCUGUAGCGGGUCUGAGAGGAUGAUCCGCCGCACUGGGACUGAGACACGGCCCAGACUCCUACGGGAGGCAGCAGUGGGGAAUAUUGGACAAUGGGGGGAACCCUGAUCCAGCCAUGCCGCGUGUGUGAAGAAGGCCUUAUGGUUGUAAAGCACUUUAAGCGAGGAGGAGGCUACUUUAGUUAAUACCUAGAGAUAGUGGACGUUACUCGCAGAAUAAGCACCGGCUAACUCUGUGUCAGCAGCCGCCGUAA